UUUUCUCAGAAGCUCCCAGCAAGGCCCCUCUCAGAUGGACUAUCAGGGGUUCUCUGCACAGUCCUCCGCUGAUCAUAAGCAAGGUGUUUCGAAAAUGUCUGAACUGCCAUCUCUGCAUGUAGCUGCGGAGAAGAUUCCUGCCUCAAAUGAAAAGUUGGACUGCACAGUCUCUGAAGUUCCUUUGUUCAGCUUGAAGAUCCAAUGAUUCUAAGUCAGCUCCUUCAGAAGUUAUGCAGAAAAUAACAGGCACGGCAGCCUUCUUGCCUCAAUGAAUCGAUCUACAUUCUCACUUCCUUCAAUCAAUAAAUCCCCAACCUGCUUGGAAACAAAAGUCUCUAAGUGAUGUAAGGAAACCUAAACCAGUCUGUGCCCCAUUCAUACAAGAGUGAUGGGGGAAAAAAGAGAGAGAAAGAAAGAAGAAAGACACCAAGAGGAGUUAACGAUUAAUUUGCUCACAACAUGAGCUGGUUGCUUCCCCAUCUGUGGGAUCCAGUGUUCAAUUCCCCUGAGAUCCAUCAAAGGAGGAAUGGCAUUAUUCUGCCUCAAAGAAGAUGCCAGUCUCUACCUAAGAAGUCCACCUACCCUGAGACCACCACGCUGUAAGGAAGCCCGAGCCAGACACAGAGAGAGACCACACAUUGGCGAGAGGCACGUGAGCAAAGCCUGGGACCUUCUGGCUGGCCCGGCCCAGUCAGCAGCCAAGAGCAGCCACAUGAGGAGUCCCGUUUGAUGCCGCACAGAGCAGGAGAAUCACCCAGCCAAGCACGGCCCAGAUGACAUGAUUAUGAGAAAUAAUCAGUCAUUGUUGAGUUAAGACACCAUAUUUUGGGGUGGUUUGUUAUGCAGCAGUAAGUAACUGGGAUAGCUGUGACUCUUCAUCUACCACCAAAGAGAACUCAGAAAUACUGGUGUAAUGGUAUCAUCAGCCAUCUAGACAGAGAAUUCCAAACCCUUCUGUGUAGAAAAUAGCCCAAAUCCUGCAUUCAGUAGUUGUCUAGGAAAGUUCAGUAGUCUCCGUGUGCUCCUACUUCCCACUGCUCCUGACAAACACUCUUUGAAAGCAUCUACCGCACCUUCAAGUAGGGGCCACACCUAGUGGGAUGGGAGAGGAGCUCCGGUGCAGACCCGGAGGCCUACACUCCAGCUCUCUCUCACGCCCUUUUGACUUACUCCAGACUUUGGGCAAGACAGUCAGUCUCUUCUGCCUGUAAGAUGGAAAUAAAAUCACCCUAUUGACUGAAAAGAACACUGCAAUUUAAGGAUGCCACCACCAGAUGGCUACAGUCUAUAAACAGAGUCGCCAAAAUCCCAAAAGUAAAGAUUAAAUUAAAAAUGAAGGUUUACUAUGCAUCCAAAGAGACAAGACUAGCACAGUCAACGCCAUUAGAGAAUAAGACAGUUUCUAUUCCAGUGCUGAUCCGCGGAGCAGGGCUGACAGUAAACACCAUGCAAGAGAGGGACAGACAAGGGAGAGUCCCCCUCAAAUGAUCCAAGAACAGACUUCCGAGAUGGUACCCACCCUACAGCGCGCUUCAUUCAGAGACAAACGGCAGGCAGAAUCAGGAGACAGGCACCUCUGCGAGGCCAGCCACAGGCCAAUACAAAUUUCCUUGGACGUCUGGCCAAACACUGUUUGAGACUCUCUAGCAAGAGAAUCCCAACUGAAUCAUUAGCCAAAUCCCUGGACAGUCCUCAGUGAGUCAUUUAGGCUGUGUCUCUUGGGACAGCAUCUCUCCUGCCCUGACCAGCCACUAGGGCAAACAUUGACAAUGGAUUAUGCCCAUUACUUUCUGCUCUUACCCACCCUUCCCACCGGAGGCAGACGGCCGGCUCCCCCUCCUGCCCUCUCCUCCCACACCUGCGGUGCUGGUUUGAAGCAACAAAGCCACCUUGACAUAGCUGACCUAUCCAUCUUGCUGCCACGGCCUCACGGCACAAACUGCUCACGGACGCUGGUCAUCAGCCUGUUCAGGGCCACGCCUGCCUCUCUAGCAGCAGCCCACUCAGGCUUCGGAGGAAGCCCCUACCUCGACCACUGGUGCAACCCCAUGGCCUGAAGGAGGAAGGGGUGCGACAGGCGACAUGGAGCCUACAAAAAUCCCCAGGAGGCUCUCUGGGUACAGCCGAGAACUGUAAGAAUUGAAUUCCUCAAGAGUCGCUUGUUGGAAAUGUAUCAAUUACAGUGUGAUGAAGAGCCCUUGAAGGGGAAACCACAAAUCACAUUCCCAUUAUUAGGUGAAGUGAGAUGCACCACAAGUGAAAUCCAUCACUGUUGGGGUUUGUUUUUUUUUUAAAGAUGGACCAGGGACAGAGGAGAACUCACUCCCCCAACUCCUUCUGCAUUUGCCCCAUGUACCAUUAGUUCACCUCAGCUUUCUCUGUCAUUUUCUCCAUGCAUGACUCGCUUACAACUGACAGCAAAGGGCUUUAUCUGCUUCGGACAUCCCUGUCCAUCCAUAAUGCCCAGCAUCAGAGCCAUCUUGAGGGCACCGUGAACUUAGGAGACUGCCCUGGGCAGCAACGCCCCCCACGCUGAAGGGCUGGAGGGCAGGGAGAUGGGGCUGCCAGCAAGUGGCUGGACUAUGACUCGGGAGAAACAGGAGAGAAA